CCCUUCCUUCCACCCAAUCCCCUCAAUUCCCCUCACGUCCCCAAGUUUCCAAUCCCCUUCGAUAAAAACUUGUUUGGUAGACAGGGUUUGUUAAUAGACUGAUGGCAACAGUGCAGUUAAAAAUCCAAUGUUUGCAAGUUUAACAACUCUAACCAUGUUCUUUUACAAGAAGAACAUGUACUCCCAGAUUAUAACUUGCUCCCAGAUUAUUCUGUUACAAGAGCAACAUGUCCUCACAAUAUUCUGUUACAACCAAAGUUUAACAUAGGGUGGUAGCCAUGUUUGUAUUUCGGUAGCUGCAUUUCAUGCUGCCGUUGGCAAUUGAGCUCUUUAAUUCCUUUGUUACCAUCUAACUCCAGCCUGGGAAGCAGCAAAUGCUUGUAAUAACUCUGCAUGAAAACAUCGAUCUUGAGUCCACAUAAAAAAAGCCAAAAGCAACAUCAUCAGCACACACAUCUACAAGUUGGAAACUGUACAAAGAGUUCCGACUUCCAAAAAAUAAUGAACUAAAAAUCACCAGCACACACAUAUCUACAAGUUGGAAACAUCGAUCUAGAUGCAAUAUGCCCCAAAGGUAGAACUACAUUUACUAUUUUACUUGACUUCAAGAGCUAACAAGUAGGAUAUACUACUUGGGUAAAGAAACAAGCCAUGAGGCUAAGCAGCUUGUUUACCAGAAGUUAGGCGUGGCAACUGACUCCCAAGACAGAGGCAACUCGUCCACCCCAGCAAGAAUCCAAGCAGCGGGUCUCUGAUAAGAACAAGUUAGCAAGGUCCAUUACAUAAUUCAGUUCAACGGAAAUGGACCAAGUUCUUAUAAAUAGCAUUCGUGCUAUAAAGAACAAGUUAGCAAGGUCUGAGAUCAUUGUUUCUAAAAUUCAUCAAUUGUUUCUAAAAUGAUCCAUACAUAUCUUGCUGCCAAGACUAAAUUAGUACACAGAUUCAGUUUGCUACUGCAAGUAAUCACAACAAAACUGAUUCUCAAAUGAUUUCUGAUGGCGAGAACAUGAAAAAAAAAGUUACAUCUUAAUGGGGAAAAUACCAGCUCUACGGUAGGCGUGAAGGAGGACGAUGACUGCGAGGUGUGGAGAAGGUUGAUGGUGGCGGAGCGUGGAAGAGGCUGCAAGGCCAUGGAGGGAGAACAAGUUAGCAAGGUCCAGUACAUAGAUUCAGUUCAACGAAAAUGGACCAAGUUAGCUAGCUAGCUAGAUGAAAAGAUAGUAAUGAACUACAAGUACUAAUAGUAUGCAUGAUGCUCCCAAGAUAACCAGCGUACUAGUAAGCUAAUGCAACGCAGAACAGGAUUCACAAACAAACACACAGGUGAUCGGUGCUGCCAGAUAACCAGCAUGAGGUUUACAGUGUACUAGUUCAUCCGUCCUUACAGACUCUAUCAGCACAACUGGAUCAGAAUAUUGGUAAGCAAUGCAGAGUACGAUUUACAAACAAAAAAACAGGGGAUGGGUGCAAACAUCAUCAUCAUAAGUUAUUCUAGACUGCUAUCCUAUUUCUAGGAAUGGAGCAAAUGGCAUCACACAAGAAAAUUAAGUAUUAAAAUCAUAGCAUUGCCCAGAAAUUGUAUGUUGCAAUUCCAGGAGCAAAUGGAUAAUAUGCAGAGCAACAUUACUAGUCCCACCUCAUCGACUAGUAAUGAAACUGCAUGAUGCAUACUUCUGGAUGAGUCGUUGCAGUUUACAGAUCCUGUGAUUAAGCUUCUUUUUUUUUAACCCUCCCCCCGUAGAACAAUUGUUCUACAGUAAAUUUUAUAAAAGAACAAGUGUGAUUAAGCUUAUUCAAUAAACAUAUCUUAAAUUUUCAGGAUCAGCGUGCAAUCAAUUGAUGGAAUUCAAUCGUCAAUUGCAGCAUGAAACUAAACUGUAAUUGUACUUAAAUUUCUCUAUGUUUCCUUUUAUGAUGCGAUUCAGUUCGGUUCAAAAGCUUAAAAAAAUUCACUAGGCGUUAUGCCAGUACUUAACUCACACCAAUGCAUGCGAUUCGGUUCGGUUGUCCCACAGAUUAGAUACCCAGAUUAAUUAAGCCAAUCAAGAUAGCCACAACCGUCCUGGAAUUGAUUCCGUAAGUAAAUACAGAUGGUAGCAUUAUAUAUAGCAGCAGAUUAGUCUGAUCGGACUGGACUGAAUCAAAAGUCUACAUAAUCGACUAGCUAGAGAUCAGAUCAUCAUAGAUGAAGUCAAUUGACCGAUAAAGAGAGCCCAGCCUGGAUUAACAAUGCAAGGGAUUCAGGGAAUAGCCGAAAAUCCAGGGUAAUUAAGCAGCUGACGUACAUCCAUAGGAAAUAAAAUGCAACUCUUACCUAGGGGACAAGCAAGCUUGGGCUCCGCGGCGGAGGGCUGGGGCGGCGAUGCAGUUCGACGAACGGGGGGGCCUCGGAGGUGGCUGGGCUCGCCGGAGAGGGAGAGCAGAGAAGUGGAGGGGGCGGUGGCGCAGCGGCGUAAACCCUAGUCCCCGCCUCUGCUCGCGGAGCGGAGAAGGGGAGGGAGCGGUGGCGCGGCGGCGUAGACCCUAGUCCCCGUCUCUCCCCGGCGGCGGGGCUCCUCCUCUCGGUGGCGGCGGGGCGGCAUUGUCGCUUUGCCAUCUCGUUCCCUGCGUGUGGCCUCGAGGCUUGGGAGACGCGUGGAUAGAAGGGGAUCGAAGGGGAAUGGAAGGGAUUGGGCUGUGCAAACCACGUGAAACAAAUGGGCCGUCGGGGUUUUCAGAGGUUUUUGGGCCCCGCCGGGUUGAUCCUCUGAAAAACCCCUCGAUCCCCUCGUACCAAAUGAG
rnacentral:lncRNA from 1 species